rnacentral:tRNA from 1 species
GAGGCUAUAGCUCAGUGGUAGAGUGCAUGCCUAGCAUGUGCAAUAUUCUGGGUUCAAUCCCCAGUACCUUCA